rnacentral:rRNA from 1 species
AGCAUAUCAAUAAGCGGAGGAAAAGAAACCAACAGGGAUUGCCCCAGUAACGGCGAGUGAAGCGGCAACAGCUCAAAUUUGAAAUCUGGCCCCCAGGGUCCGAGUUGUAAUUUGCAGAGGAUGAUUUUGGCGAGGUGCCUUCCGAGUUCCCUGGAACGGGACGCCACAGAGGGUGAGAGCCCCGUCUGGUUGGACGCCGAGCCUAUGUAAAUCUCCUUCGACGAGUCGAGUAGUUUGGGAAUGCUGCUCUAAAUGGGAGGUAUAUGUCUUCUAAAGCUAAAUAUUGGCCAGAGACCGAUAGCGCACAAGUAGAGUGAUCGAAAGAUGAAAAGCACUUUGAAAAGAGGGUUAAAUAGUACGUGAAAUUGUUGAAAGGGAAGCGCUCAUGACCAGACUUGGGCCCGGUGAAUCAUCCAGCGUUCUCGCUGGUGCACUUUGCCGGGCUCAGGCCAGCAUCAGUUUGCCCCGGGGGAUAAAGGCUUUGGGAAUGUGGCUCCUCCGGGAGUGUUAUAGCCCAUUGCAUAAUAUCCUGGGGCGGACUGAGGUUCGCGCAUCUGCAAGGAUGCUGGCGUAAUGGUCAUCAGCGACCCGUCUUGAAACACGGACCAAGGAGUCGUCUUCGUAUGCGAGUGUUCGGGUGUAAAACCCCUACGCGUAAUGAAAGUGAACGCAGGUGAGAGCUUCGGCGCAUCAUCGACCGAUCCUGAUGUUCUCGGAUGGAUUUGAGUAAGAGCAUACGGGGCCGGACCCGAAAGAAGGUGAACUAUGCCUGUAUAGGGUGAAGCCAGAGGAAACUCUGGUGGAGGCUCGCAGCGGUUCUGACGUGCAAAUCGAUCGUCAAAUAUGGGCAUGGGGGCGAAAGACUAAUCGAACCUUCUAGUAGCUGGUUUCCGCCGAA